rnacentral:tRNA from 1 species
UCUGCUUUAGUAUAGUUAAUAUGAUAGCUUUUCGUGCUGUAGACAGUCUUUAUUAGACUAAGCAGGA